AUCAUACUCCCUCCGUCCAACAAAAGAUGUCUCAACUUUGACUAAAUUUGAAUGCAUCUAUACACUAAGUCAUGUCUAGAUACAUCCAAAUUUUGAUACACUAAGUCAUGUCUAGAUACAUCCAAAUUUUGAUGCAUUCAAAUUUAGUCAAAGUUGAGACAUCUUUUGUUGGACGGAGGGAGUAGUAA
rnacentral:pre_miRNA from 1 species